UACGUAGGGUGCGAGCGUUAAUCGGAAUUACUGGGCGUAAAGCGUGCGCAGGCGGUUUUGUAAGGCAGAUGUGAAAUCCCCGGGCUUAACCUGGGAAUGGCAUUUGGGACUGCAAGGCUGGAGUUUGGCAGAGGAGACUGGAAUUCCUGGUGUAGCAGUGAAAUGCGUAGAUAUCAGGAGGAAUACCGGUGGCGAAGGCAGGUCUCUGGGCUAUAACUGACGCUCAUGCACGAAAGCGUGGGGAGCAAACAGG
rnacentral:rRNA from 1 species